rnacentral:rRNA from 1 species
AGGGGGAGAGGGGGCUAGGAAUCUGCCUGGUAGUGGGGGAUAACGCUCGGAAACGGACGCUAAUACCGCAUACGUCCUACGGGAGAAAGCAGGGGACCUUCGGGCCUUGCGCUAUCAGAUGAGCCUAGGUCGGAUUAGCUAGUUGGUGAGGUAAUGGCUCACCAAGGCGACGAUCCGUAACUGGUCUGAGAGGAUGAUCAGUCACACUGGAACUGAGACACGGUCCAGACUCCUACGGGAGGCAGCAGUGGGGAAUAUUGGACAAUGGGCGAAAGCCUGAUCCAGCCAUGCCGCGUGUGUGAAGAAGGUCUUCGGAUUGUAAAGCACUUUAAGUUGGGAGGAAGGGCAUUAACCUAAUACGUUGGUGUCUUGACGUUACCGACAGAAUAAGCACCGGC